CAGCCGUAUGGUAAGCACAAAGCGAACUAUACUUUCGCCUUUUACUAAAGAAUACUGUGUGCUCGCCACCUAUAAACGGCAUACUCCAAAUUUUUAAAGGCCUCAAGAGACC